rnacentral:lncRNA from 1 species
UAUACAAUGUGUUUGAAGCUAAUUUAUUACAAGAGAGUCAAAACAUUUUUAAAAAUUAAAAGGUUUAUAAAGAAAUUAUAGUAAGCUAAGGUUAAUUUAUUACCGACAAAAAAAUUCAAAUAAAUUUAGUGUAGCCUAAGCAUACAGUACAUAUAAAGUCUACAGUAGUAUACAGUACUGCCCUAGCCUUCACAUUCACUCACCGCUCAGUCACUGACUCACCCGGAGUAACUUCCAGUCUUGCAAGCUCCAUCCACGACAGCAGUGCUGAGAAGCAGGAGCCCCUGAGCUUGGAGACGCAGGAAGAGCCCUGGGAGGCCCAGAUCAAAGGGAGGCAGUCAGCUCAUGGAGCCGAGGAAUGUUCUGCUGACACCCACCCCGAGGGUAUCCGGUAUGUUUCUGUGCACCAGCGACCCCUCCACACCUCACCAGAUUGGUUCCCCAGCCCCGUGGGACCCAAUUCCGGGUCAAUUCCAAUUUGAUUCCAGUCCAGAAUCAAAUCAGAAGAGCAAUCCCGAGUGCCCACCUCACGGUCUGAAGCACCUCCUCCUACACCCGGACCCAAACACGAGGUCGGCUCAAGGAGGCACUGAGGUCACGACAGUCAGGGUCCUGCGCUGCUUGUCGCAUGCAGUCUCCUUCCCCGAACCGCCGCCUGCACGGCCUCCACUGUUUUCCUAUUGGGCUGCAGCCUGAGAGCCCUGACAAUGCGGCCCACAAACCGGGAACGCGAAAGUGCACGUACCAGGCGCGAUCACCAGGCGCUAGCGCUGAGGGGGGACUCGCGUCACAGUAACCGCCACCGUUGCCGGGGGACUGGCCCCAGCGGCUUGGCCCCCAGGCGUCUGUGGCAGUGCGUCCCCUCUCCGCGGGAUCGUCGCCAUGGUCCUGCGAUCCUAGGAGUCGGGCAAGGCCGAACCUGCCUGAAGAAACCUCAAGCGGAGAUUCAAGGAAGCACCACGUGAUCCCUAAGGAUCCCAAAGAUGCGUCGGGCAUGCAUGGGCGGUGUGAGGGUGCGUCUCCCUGACAGGUGUCCCCGCUGGGAUUUCGAGAUUUCAUUCUGGAUUAAAGGAUGUGUGCAGAAAAAAGGUCAGAUGGGGGUGAAGAUACAAUCCGCUGAGGUGUGGAGGAGGUCUCGCACCUUCACCUGCAGAACAGGUGCAGACAGAUGUCAAAGAAACUGUUUCCAACGCCAUCCCCUUUUCCUCUUCACUGUACAACCUGUCCACACCAUGGCGCUGUGCUGGCGAUAGAAGACACGAGUGUUCGGAGAACCUUUGGACCGAAGACUGUCGCCUUUCUGGCCAGGUCCCCUGUUGGACCCUGGUUCCCCGAGGCACAUGGGAGUGGGAUGGAUUGAUCCUGCCUGGGCUGCGGCCUCUACUCUGUUCUCCCUCUUUUCUUGCCUUCCCUGAUUCUCGUCGGCCCAGGUUUUCCUUGGUCUGGCUCACAGUCCUCCAGAACGUCCUUCACAGCAAAUGUUUCCCAGUUCGUCCAGGACCACCUUGGCGGGGACGUAGGUGAUGAGUGUUUCCUUCUCAACACUCACAUUUCUUAAUGACUGGGUAGCUGUGAUGCUCUUGGAACCGUGGGUGCCCGUAGCUUUCCCCAAUAAGGAAACUCUUGGUCUCCCCAUUGCAUCAGAUGGCUGCAUGAUUCACAUAGAAUGAGAGGUAGCCAGCCGUAGCUGGCCUUUGCCUUCUAAUGAAGGCUAUGUUUCAUCUCAUCUGCUGGUGUUUUCUCAUUGUUGAGGGGUCUCCCAUUGCUCUGUUCCUGGCUGGGACUGCCUCUCAGCACUGCACCUUUUCGUUGCCAGGGAUUUCACGGAGCAAAAGGGACUGGGGGUUAGCUGGGUGUAGACCCGGUGGUGGGUUGUGAUCCCGGUGUGGGUGCUGGAUCACUUUGCAGGAUCCUCUUGGCUCCUCUGGCAGGAAUCCCUGGAGGAGGCUUGGACUCCGGCACAGGCCCUCCUAUGGUUUCAGGUGUGCUUUGCUUGUGCUUCGCUUUCUUGGGGGUAUCCUCAGUGGCCCUCGCCAGCAUGCCUGGAUAUCCCUUUUGGGCUUGGAUUCACCCCAGAAGGCCUCUGAGACACUCUCUCCACAUUUUCUGCCCCCAUGGGAUGCCAGUUUUAGGUGUUGCCACCUCUGCUUCACAUCGGGCUUGACUUUGUCCUUGUUCCCGCCUUUUCUGGACAGCAAUGCUGAGAAGCCGAAGGCCCUGGUCUUGGAGACCAGGACAGGGCCCUGGGAGGCCCAGGUCGAAAGGGGGCCAGUCAGCUCAUGGGGCGAGGGAAUGUCCUGCUCACACCCUCCACUGGGGUCUCAGGUAUGUUUUCCUACCCCAGCGACCCCUCAACUCCUCACCAGAUUGGAUCCCCAGCCCCAUGGGACCUGAUUCCUGCCCACACCCUCCAAUCUAGAAUCAAAUCAGAGAGCAGUCCCGAGUGCCCACCUCAAGGUCUGAAGCGCCUCCUCCUCCACCCAGACCCGUACACGAAGUGGGCUGAAGGAGGCACUGAGGUCAGGACUGUCAGGGUCCUGCGCUGCUGGUCUCACGCAGCCUUCUUCCCCGGGCCGCAGCCAGCACGGCCUCCACCGUUUUCCUAUGGGCCCUGAGAGCCCUGACGUUGCGGCAGCGCCAGCCGGGCACGCGAAUGCGCAUGCGCCAGGCGCGCGUCACCAGGCGCGACGGCUGAGCCGGGGCUCGCGUCACAGUGACAGCCACCGUUGC